rnacentral:rRNA from 1 species
GACGAACGCUGGCGGCGUGCUUAACACAUGCAAGUCGAGCGGUAAGGCCCUUUCGGGGGUACACGAGCGGCGAACGGGUGAGUAACACGUGGGUGACCUGCCCUCAGCUCUGGGAUAAGCCUGGGAAACCGGGUCUAAUACCGGAUAUGACUCCAUGACGCAUGUUGUGGGGUGGAAAGCCUUGUGCGGCUGAGGAUGGGCCCGCGGCCCAUCAGCUUGUUGGUGGGGUGAGGCCUACCAAGGCGACGACGGGUAGCCGGCCUGAGAGGGCGACCGGCCACACUGGGACUGAGACACGGCCCAGACUCCUACGGGAGGCAGCAGUGGGGAAUCUUGCGCAAUGGGCGAAAGCCUGACGCAGCGACGCCGCGUGAGGGAUGACGGCCU